rnacentral:rRNA from 1 species
UGGGGAAUAUUGCACAAUGGGGGAAACCCUGAUGCAGCAACGCCGCGUGAGCGAAGAAGGCCUUUGGGUCGUAAAGCUCUGUCCUAAGGGAAGAAGAAGUGACGGUACCUUAGGAGGAAGCCCCGGCUAACUACGUGCCAGCAGCCGCGGUAAUACGUAGGGGGCGAGCGUUAUCCGGAAUUAUUGGGCGUAAAGGGUACGUAGGCGGUUCAGUAAGCAUGAGGUGAAAGGCAAUAGCUUAACUAUUGUAAGCCUUGUGAACUGUUGGACUUGAGUGCAGGAGAGGAAAGCGGAAUUCCUAGUGUAGCGGUGAAAUGCGUAGAUAUUAGGAGGAACACCAGUGGCGAAGGCGGCUUUCUGGACUGUAACUGACGCUGAGGUACGAAAGCGUGGGGAGCAAACAGGA